GUAGGGAUGGUGUAACGGCUAACAUAUCGGUCUCCAAAACCGAGGAUCUAGGUUCAAAUCCUAGUCUCUGCG
rnacentral:tRNA from 2 species